GAGACAGCCACCAGAGGCUGGAUUAACCCUAAGUGAAACAUAGCCGUUUCUCUGAAACUGCUAUGUUUUCAGCUGCAGGGUUAAAACUAGAGGGACCUGGCACCCAGACCACUUCAUUGAGCUGAUGUGAUCUGGGUGUCUCUAGUGGUCCUUUAAGUGUGUGUGCAUACCGCGGUCGCGGGGUCGCAGCCCUGCAACCCCUGCGACCAGGUGCC